GCUUGUCUCAAAGAUUAAGCCAUGCAUGUCUAAGUAUAAAUGGUAUACAGUGAAACUGCGAAUGGCUCAUUAAAACAGUUAUAGUUUAUUUGGUAUUCGAAUUUACAUGGAUAACCGUGGUAAUUCUAGAGCUAAUACAUGCAUUACGCCUGACUUUUCGGAGAGAUGCUUUUAUUAGAUCAAAACCAAACGGCUUCGGCCGUCUCAUUGGUGACUCUGAAUAACUUUGGGCUGAUCGUAUGGCCUUGUGCCGACGACGUUUCCUUCGAAGGUGUGCCCUAUCAACUGUCGACUGUGAUAUAGACGCUCACAGUGGUUUUGACGGGUAACGGGGAAUCAGGGUUCGAUUCCGGAGAGGGAGCCUUAAAAACGGCUACCACAUCCAAGGAAGGCAGCAGG
rnacentral:rRNA from 1 species